GACGAACGCUGGCGGCGUGCUUAACACAUGCAAGUCGAGCGGUAAGGCCCUUUCGGGGGUACACGAGCGGCGAACGGGUGAGUAACACGUGGGUGACCUGCCUUUAGCUCUGGGAUAAGCCUGGGAAACUGGGUCUAAUACUGGAUAUGACUCCACGGUGCAUGGUGUGGGGUGGAAAGCCUUGUGCGGCUAGAGAUGGGCCCGCGGCCUAUCAGCUGGUUGGUGGGGUGAUGGCCUACCAAGGCGACGACGGGUAGCCGGCCUGAGAGGGCGACAGCCCACACGGGGACUGGGACACGGCCAACACUCCUACGGGAGGGAGAGGUGGGGACUCUUGGGCAAGGGGCGAAGGCCUGAGGCAGCGCGGCGGCGUGAGGGAUGACGGCCUUCGGUUUGUAAACCUCUUUCAGCCCUGACGAAGCGAGGGUGACGGUGGGGGCAGAAGAAGCACCGGCCAACUACGUGCCAGCAGCCGCCGCGGUAA
rnacentral:rRNA from 1 species